UACGUAGGGGGCAAGCGUUGUCCGGAUUCAUUGGGCGUAAAGGGUGCGUAGGUGGUGAUGCAAGUCUGGUGUGAAAUCUCGGAGCUCAACUCCGAAAUUGCACCGGAUACUGCGUGACUCGAGGACUGUAGAGGAGAUCGGAAUUCACGGUGUAGCAGUGAAAUGCGUAGAUAUCGUGAGGAAGACCAGUUGCGAAGGCGGAUCUCUGGGCAGUUCCUGACACUGAGGCACGAAGGCCAGGGGAGCAAACGGG
rnacentral:rRNA from 1 species